CAGGACACCCUGGCAGUUUCCAGAAAGACUCGUGGUGAGAAACAGAGUCUCCAGCCAGCAGCCACAAGGGAAUUUAGGAUGAGUCCUCCAGCCUUGUGGUGGCUGCAGCCUACUCUGUGGCCUGACCAUGACAUCCUAAGAGACCCUCAGCCACACAAUCAGCUUCAGCUUAAGCCAUCCCAGGAUGCUGACUUCAGAACCAUGAUGGGUCUCACUCUGAAGCUCCAGCUGUGCUAGAUGAUGUAGAUCAGGCUCAAUGGAUCCUUCUCUCUCAGCCCCCACCACACUGAGACUGUCAGCCUGCUCCUGUUCGGUUCCUGGAGGUGAAAUGUCAAGCUGCCAGAUUUUCCUUCUCUUGCAAUGUCUAUUGGUCCAUGAACAAGAGCCUGGGUAACAAUAAACUACCCCUGCCUCAA